ensembl:lncRNA
AUUAAAGUCAAGUUGGAAUAUCCUGAGAGUGCUAUGAAAGCACAGAAGAGCUUGCUUCCGUUGCCAGCAUCCUGUCUUGAUGAAGCAAGGUGUUCUGCAUUGAAAGCAGCCAGAACAUGAUUAUAGAAUAAUUGGCCAUAAGAAACACACUUUGGAUGUUACUGUUGCCCAUCACCUCUAGGACCUGGUUUCAGGAAAGCCAAGCUCAGAACUCCCACUUAUCAUGGAUUAUGUGAAUAACACUGAUGUGGAACACUGAGUCAGGUAAGACAUUGCUUGGAUCAGGUGUUCUAUAUAAUGGGAAGCAAUGACCUUGCACCCUGUACAUUGGUGUGAAUUUCAUGACAACCACAAAAUUUUAGAUAGGAGGCCACCAAAAUUCACAUAUUUUUCAGUUUUCCUGUUGCUGAGAGAUAGUACCCAAUACACACAACUUAAAGGAGGAAAAGUUUAGCUCACAGCUUCAGAAGAUUCAGUAUAUAUUAAGCAGUCUCCAAGGCAUAAAAUACAUGGUGGAACAGCAUGGCAGAGUAAAAUUGCUUAGUUCAUGAAGGCCAGGAGCAGAGCAGGGGAACAGUCCCAGAGAAGAACAGGCUAGAAAUGACAUACUGCCAUGCUUCCUACCAGAAGCAUACAUGCUACUAAUUUAUUAGGUGUUUCUUAAUUCAGCGAAGUUGGCAAAUUAGAAUUAAUGGUCACUUUUAUUUUAUUAGAUUUUUUAUUGGAUUCUGGAUAUUUUGUGUUUCCUAAGCAAUACUGGGCUUUUUCUUCUGUGAUGCAGUUAAGUCACCAAGAAAAAGAUUGAUUUUACAUUUAUUAAAUGGUUUGCAGCUAUUUUUUUUUGUUUCUUUGCUUGCUUGCUUUAGAAGUUCUAAGAUGUGAUUUAUAUUAAGAGAAAGAAGUACAGGAACUAAUGGAAAACACUCAGAAAGAAAUUUUAAAAGAGGAUCUUGAGACUAAAAUUAAGUUUAAAACAUGCACGUGUCCCAGUGUUGACCAUAUGCUCUGCUCCAGGAGAUGUCAUAGGGAUGGGUAUAUGCAUGUACUUACCAAAUUUGUUGAUUCUUAAGACCUGUCUGUAGAUAGUUUUGGUUGUCAAAGCCAGGGCAGUGUUAUUGGUUUCUAUUAAACAGAUGUCAGAGAUGCUGCUAAAUAUCUUGUCAUGCAGAGAGUAGACCCCAUAAGAAAGAAGUAUGGAGUACAAAAUAUGAAGAAUGGAAGAUUCUGAAACCUUGCUAUAAAAGUACGAAGUAAACUAUAUAUAACCAUGUGAAUGAAAGAAGCAAGACAUGCAGAAAAUAGUGCUAUAAGAAAUAUAUUUAUGUAAGCUUCAGAAGCAGAUUAAUUAAACCCAUUACAAUGUUAGGAAUCAGCUUACUGGUUAUCUUUGAUGGGAAAUGAUCAGAAGAAGCAGGAAAUGGGCCAUUUGUAAUGGUAGUGUUGUAACCAGUAUAAGUGUUGGUUAUAUUUUCCUUGUGAAAAUUCUUUUAGUUAUGCAAUUUCAUACUCAUUUCUAUGCUUUUUUAAUUUCUGUAAUCUUCAGUUAAAAUAUUAAAAUGUUAUUUAGAUUAGAUAUUCCUCCUAUUAAAACCCUUUGGCAAAUAGUCGUCAAUGGUAACAGCCAUUUUAGACUCUGCUGGUCUUGUUCUUGGUCAUUAUAAAACAUAAAAAUUCUCUUCACUUUGUUCUGCAAUGAUUUAGCUCUCUCUAAUUACUACUAUCAAACUCAGCUCAGGAUGUGUCUUUAUAUAUCAAAAAGAAAGGCUAUCUCUCCUAUUAGCAAAAAAAAGAC